rnacentral:rRNA from 1 species
AUCAAAUGAACUAAGGCAGAUGGUGGAGACCUAGGCACUUUAAGACGAUGAAGGGCGCAGAAACCAGCGAUAUGUUUUGGGGAGCUGGAAACAAGCUUUGAUCCAAAAAUCCCCGAAUAGGGCAACCUCUAGAACUCCUUUUAUUAAUUCAUAGAAAAGGCAGAGACAACCUGGUGAAUUGAAACAUCUUAGUAGCCAGUGGAAAAGAAAGCAAACGCGAUUCCCUUAGUAGUGGCGAGCGAAAGGGGACCAGCCUAAAUUUGUUAAGAAAUUAAAUUUUAAUUUGUUGAUGGAUGUUGUGGGAGGACAUUAAUUUCUCUGAAUAAGAGAUAAGUUUAAAAUUGAAAUAAUGAUUAAGAAUUUUAUUAAAAAAAUAAAAUUCUUAAUCAUAUAAGAGACAAAACGAAGCAGCUGAAUCCUGCACCACAGAUGGUGAAAGUCCAGUAGUAAAUAACUCUCUUUUUAAAUAAAAAAGUCUUAUCCCGAGUAGCAUGGGACACGUGAAAUCCCGUGUGAAUCAGCGAAGACCACUUCGUAAGGCUAAAUAUUCUAAAGUGACCGAUAGCGAAAUAGUACAGCGAUGGAAGGGUAAAAAGAACCCCUGUAGGGGAGUGAAAUAGAACAUGAAACCAUCUGCUGACAAGCAGCGGGAGGAAUUUUAAUUCUGACCACGUGCCUGUUGAAGAAUGAGCUGGCGACUUAUAGGAAGUGGCUUGGUUAAGAAAAUUCAUUCGUAGCCAUAGCGAAAGCGAGUCUGAAUAGGGCGCAAAUGGUCACUUUUUAUGGACCCGAACCCGGGUGAUCUAACCAUGACCAGGUUGAAGCUUGGGUAAAACCGUGUGGAAGUCCGAACCGACUGGUGUUGAAAAACCAACGGAUGAGUUGUGGUUAGGGGUGAAAUACCAAUCGAACUCGGAGCUAGCUGGAUCUCCCCGAAAUGCGUUGAGGCGCAGUCGGUUAUGAAGGACUAUGAAAGGGUAAAGCAACUGUUUCGGUGCGGGCUGCGAGAGCGGUACCAAGUCGUGACAAACUCAGAAUAUUUCAUAUAGUUUACCAUUAACCAGUGAGACAGUGGGAGAUAAGUUUCAUUGUCAAGAGGGAAACAGCCCAGAUCACCAGCUAAGGCCCCUAAAUGAAUGCUAAGUGGAAAAGGAUGUGGGAAUGCUGAGACAAACGUGAGGUUAGCUUAGAAGCAGCGAUUCCUUGAAAGAAAGCGUAAAAGCUCAACGUUGUAAGCGUUCUUGCGCCGACAAUAGCCGGGACUAAGUAUUCUGCCGAAGCUGUGGGAUGGAGUUGAUUCUCCAAUCGGUAGGGGAGCGUUCGACUAUUGGGUGAAGCAUUGAUUUGAGUCAGUGUGGACAAAGUCGAAGCGAGAAUGUCAGCUUGAGUAACGAAAACAUUGGUGAGAAUCCAAUGCUCCGAAAACCUAAGGGUUCCUUCACUAGGCUCGUCCAUGAAGGGUUAGUCAGGUCCUAAGAUCAGGCCGAGAGGCGUCGUCGAUGGCAAUCAGGUUAAUAUUCCUGAACUUAUUUUAUUUGUUUUAAAAUCCCGAGGGACGAAGAAGGCUAAAUUUGAACUGACAACGGAUUGCAGUGGAAAUGUUCUAGGUGUUGAAAGGUUGAAUAAAAACAACUCUUGAGCUGAGACAUGACCCCAUCUCGGUCAAGCUUCGGCUUGAUUAGAUGCAGAUGAUGCCAUACUUCCAAGAAAAGCUCGCACGAUUAAAAUAAAAUAACCUGUACCAUAAACCGACACAGGUAGGUAAGUAGAGAAUACUAAGGAGCGCGAGAGAACUCUCCCUAAGGAACUCGGCAAAUUAACCCCGUAACUUCGGAAGAAGGGGUGCCUCUUUAACAGGGAGGCUGCAAUAUACAGAUUCAAUCCCAGGAUCUGGCGACUGUUUACCAAAAACACAGGUCUCCGCAAAGUCGUAAGACAAUAUAUGGGGGCUGACGCCUGCCCAGUGCUGGAAGGUGAAGGAAGUUGGUUAACGCUGACGACCGAAGCCCCAGUGAACGGCGGCGGUAACUAUAACCGUCCUAAGGUAGCGAAAUUCCUUGUCGAGUAAGUUUCGACCUGCACGAAAGGCGUAACGAUCAGAAUACUGUCUCAGGGAGAGGCUCGGUGAAAUAGACUUGUCCGUGAAGAUGCGGACUACCCACACUUGGACAGAAAGACCCUAUGAAGCUUGACUGUAGUCUGGAAUUGGGUUCGGGCUUUUUUUGCGCAGUAUAGGUGGGAGGCGUUGAAGGCUUUUUUUCGGAAAGGUCUGAGCCGACGUUGAGAUACCACUCUGAAAGAGCUAGAAUCCUAAUGGUGUUCCUUGAAUCAGGACGCUUAACAGUUUCAGAUGGGCAGUUUUCUUGGGGCGAGAUCCUCCCAAAAGGUAACGGAGGUGCGCAAUGGUUCCCUCAGCCUGGACGGAAAUCAGGCAUUGAGUGUAAAGGCAUAAGGGAGCUUGACUGCAAGACCUACAAGUCAAGCAGGAUCGAAAGAUGGCCUUAGUGAUCCGACGGUACCACGUGGAAGGGCCGUCGCUCAACGGACAAAAGUUACUCUAGGGAUAACAGGCUGAUCAUUUUCAAGAGUUCAUAUCGACGAAAUGGUUUGGCACCUCGAUGUCGGCUCUUCGCAUCCUGGGGCGGUAGUACGUCCCAAGGGUUGGGCUGUUCGCCCAUUAAAGCGGAACGUGAGCUGGGUUCAGAACGUCGUGAGACAGUUCGGUCCAUAUCCGGUGUGGGCGUUAGAGCAUUGAGGGAAUCCUUUUAUAGUACGAGAGGACCCAAAAGGACACACCAAUGGUAUACCAGUUCUUGUUCCAACAGGAAACGCUGGGUAGCUACGUGUGGAAUAGAUAACUGCUGAGAGCAUCUAAGUAGGAAGCUUAUCCCAAGAUGAGUGCUCUUCCAAUCAAAAACAUUUUUAUGGUUUUGAAAGGUUGUAGGUCACGGCAAGACAAGCCGUUAUAUAGGUGUCAGGUGUAAGGCCAGUAAUGGUUUCAGCUAAGACAUACUAAAGACCGAAUAAUUUUGAUUUU